AUAGUUGUGGCCGAGUGGUUAAGACGAUGGACUCGAAAUCCAACCCUGUGCAGGUUCAAAUCCUGCCAACUAUG